rnacentral:piRNA from 1 species
UGAGGAUUCUAGGCUUGUGCUCUUACUCU